CAAGCAUGACGGGUGAGUUUGGACUUUUGCUGACUCAUUUAUGCCCAUGCCAGGCCGUGUCUUUCUCUUGAUGUAUCUCCUGGAUUGUGAAUCCGUUCUUGAUUUUCUUUGGGAUACAGUUUCUGCACAUCUUUGUAUUACAUACAGAGUCUUUUCAAGAUCAAUAAAGAUUCUCUCAACUCUGAUGCUUUGUAUAUCAAGUCUUCUCAAUCAAGGUGGUUUCAUAUAUUUUCGUGGCUUCUCUUGAAAAUCAUUGGAACUUUUUAGCAUAUAUCCAAACUUCCCUCAGAAAAAUGUUCUCAAUGUUCUCUAUGCAGUUACAUUCGAGAGUGUUAUUGUUGUCUCAGCACUGCAGUUGACAUGAUAUUCCUUUUGAUGUAGAUUGAUAUGCCUUGUAUGCAACUCAAUUAACUCAAAAGUCGAAGAAAUAUCAUGAUGGCUUCUUACGUUGUACGAGCAGUGGAUCUAUGACUAGGCAGGUUUUCUUGUAUGAUAUGAGCUGGAAACAUUUAGAUGGCAGGUUCCUGAGCAAAGCUGAAGAAGUAAACCCUGGGGAGAUGAUGGAAUUUCCUCGUCAUUUGGUAGAAGUUGGCCACAGUGAAGCAAACCAUGAAUCUUUAAGGGAUCUAAAUGCAUGUGGAAACCGUUUCAAUUCUCUUCACAAAUUAAAUAUGCAAAAGCAGCAGCAUAAUGUUACUAAUGUUAAAUCUGCUUCUAAAGGUACCCGGAGUACAGUUUAAUUUGAUCCAUUUCCUGGUGUUCUAUAAAGUGGUUAUUUUUCCUGUUUAG